CGUAAUCCAUUGUGAGCCGAGCCGUUUCGAGUUCUGCUGAGCAUUUUUUUUCCAGCCCUGUGCUGCCCCCUUCCUCCCCCCAAGUAAACCUCGUUUCCACACGUCUUGCACCCCCGCCAUGCCGACCGUAAACGUGAAAUGGCAGAAGGAGGUCUUUCCAGGCAUAGAGAUUGACACUAGCCAGCCUCCGAUUGUUUUGAAGAGUCAGCUAUACACACUAACUGGUGUGCCACCUGAACGCCAAAAAAUUAUGGUGAAGGGUGGAUUAUUGAAGGAUGAUGCAGAUUGGUCUACUUUGGGAGUGAAAGAUGGCCAAAAGUUAAUGAUGAUAGGCACAGCUGAUGAGAUUGUUAAAGCUCCAGAGAAAGGUCCGCUGUUUGUUGAGGAUCUACCAGAAGAAGAGCAAGUGGUUGCACUGGGUCACAGUGCUGGUCUUUACAAUCUUGGGAAUACAUGCUAUAUGAAUUCCACAUUGCAAUGUUUGCAUUCAGUUCCAGAGCUGAAGUCAGCGCUGCUAAGCUAUUCAGAUACUGUAAAAGGUAAUGGCAUUGACCAAGCUUCUCAUAAUUUGACUCUUGCUACUCGUAACACCUUUGGUGAUCUUGAUCAAAGCGUUCGCCCUGUUACACCUUUACAAUUCUUACAGACACUGCGUAAAAAAUACCCGCAAUUUGCGCAGCAACAUAAUAAUGUCUACAUGCAACAGGAUGCAGAAGAAUGCUGGACACAGUUGGUGUAUACACUUUCUCAAACUCUUACCUCAGAUUCAAGUGAAUCUGCAGUUCUUCCAAUGAAGCAACUAUUUGGGAUAGAUCUCGUGAGCAGGGUUCACUGUGCAGAAAGUGGUGAGGAGAGCAUGGAGACAGAAUUAGUUUAUUCCCUUAAGUGUCAUAUAUCUCAAGAUGUGAACCAUCUUCAUGAGGGAAUUAAGCAUGGCUUGAAGACAGAACUUGAGAAAGCUUCACCUACACUGGGUCGAACUGCAGUUUAUACUAGAGAAUCAAGAAUAAAUGAGCUGCCUAGGUACUUGACUGUGCAGUUCGUUCGUUUCUUUUGGAAAAGGGAAUCAAACCAAAAGGCGAAGAUUUUACGAAAAGUUGAUUACCCACUGGAACUGGAUGUUUACGAAUUUUGCUCUGAUGAACUGAAAAAGAAACUCAAAGCUCCUCGGCAGAUGCUGAGAGAUGCAGAAAAUGCAAAGCUUGGAUUGUACAUGGGAAAGCUAGCAGCUCAAAAGAAAAUGAGGAGUCAUCAAGUAGCGCUGGGGAAUCGUCUAGUAUGGACAUUGACAAAGCUGAGUCUUCUCUACCAAAGAAACAAUUAACUGGCGUCUAUGAUUUGGUUGCUGUCUUGACACACAAGGGAAGAAGUGCAGACUCUGGCCACUAUGUUGGCUGGGUUAAGCAAGAUGAUGGAAAAUGGAUCGAGUUUGAUGAUGACAAUCCGAACAUUCGCAAGGAUGAAGACAUUUUGAAACUUUCUGGUGGAGGUGAUUGGCACAUGGCUUAUAUCUGCUUGUACAAAGCCCGCAUGGCAGAAUCAAAGAGUUAGGUCGAAUUGGUUCUACAUUUCUGUAUUGCGAAUGCAACACUAGUUUUUGUGCCCAUGAGCGAGCGUGGUAAUUAUUUUUCCAGUUCGUAAAGUGGUUACUGGUGAAUUUGCUUCAAUUAUGUUCGCCAUUAUUCACCCGGAUAUGUAUCUUUAGGAUUUCUAGUACAUUUUGUGUUGUCAAAAUAUAGGACAAAAAAUUCAGGGGAAAGCUUUUGCCUUCAGUGGAUCUGAUUUAUUUGGUUUCA